CAAUAGCGUAUAUUUAAGUUGUUGCAGUUAAAAAGCUCGUAGUUGGAUUUCGGGUGGGACGCAGCGGUCUCGCAUUGCGUUUGUACUGCUGCAGCCCUCCUUCUUGCCGGGGGCGGCCUCUCGGACUUCACUGUCUGGGGGUCAGAAUCGGCGAUGUUACUUUGAGUAAAUUAGAGUGUUCAAAGCAAGCUUACGCUCUGAAUAUAAUAGCAUGGGAUAACACGACAGGACUCUGGCCUAUCGUGUUGGUCUAUAGGACCAGAGUAAUGAUUAAGAGGGACAGUCGGGGGCAUUCGUAUUCCGUUGUCAGAGGUGAAAUUCUUGGAUUUACGGAAGACGAACAUCUGCGAAAGCAUUUGCCAAGGAUGCUUUCAUUGA
rnacentral:rRNA from 1 species